GGACGGGUGUCUCCGGUGUCUCGACAUCCUCACUUUCUCAGCUGGGACCGCCUAGCCUGUACCCGCAUUUGCCAGGACCCACAUGGACUAUCCUCAGGAAAAUGAGAUCCAGGAAGAGUGACGCCCUCCUCGAACUGAAAGAUACUCAGGUUGAUGGAGUCAGGGACGAAGUGGCUUAUCAACAACACAGGAUGUCUGCAGGGAACAGAACUUAUUCAGACAUGGCCCAGAUUGUCUGCCCGUGGGGACUGAGGGACCUCUGAGGGUUACAUCAGGAAGGAAGGAGAGGCUGUUUCUACAGGUGCCACAGAAAAAUCGAUGCUGAGCCUCGGAUUAUUGGAUCCCAUAGAACCGUGGAGACUUGGCAGUGAAAUUCUUCCAAAGGCAGGCAGAGGUUUUCCUGGUUUGGGAAGUAUAAAUCCCGUGGGAAGUCAACUGGAGGACAUUUUACGCGUCACUCAUCCUAUUAUGAGCCUGCUGCUCCUCCGUCUCUUGACAAGGCCACCAACUAGAAGGGCACAGAAUUGUUCAUAAAACAGCUGAAUGUGAAUGUCUUUGGAUUCCCAUUUAAUGAGUUGGCAGCUAAAGGACAGGAGCAGCAAUAAGGCUUCCUGGCUACAUUUUCAUGGUGCCACCAACUGCGAGUUAAGCUGACAAACAUUUUGAGAGCUCGGCCCAUUUCAUUCCCAGCAGGAUGGCAGGAGUUAACUAAAACAGAAUAAACUAAAAAUUGUGCCUUCAUUGCACAUUUGCACUGAUUAUCAGCACUGAAAAUGGCUAAGUUCUGCUUAUCAAGAGCGGGUGACUGAUUGUCCCUGCCAGCUGGCUAAUAUCAUAAUUAGCAAAGUUGCUACCACAUCUGCAAAGUUUAAUCGAAAAAUUUACCAGUGGUAUGAUGGCAUUGUCACCGCGAUCCUGAGGGAAUCAGAGUCGACUUCUGCUUCAACUGGAAUGGCAAGGCUGUAGAGCUGAGAUGAGAAACUGUAAACUUGCUCAGCCAAAGGUUAUGCUUCACAUCACCCACCAGGGAGGAUCAUCUCUCAUGAAAACUUUCAAAUUUGAUUUUGAAAAUUUAUUCAGAAAAAUUUAAGCCACGCUCUUUCCCAACACAGGAAAUAAUAUGCUCCAGAGAAUCCUCUAAUUCACCGAAAAUGGACUUGGAUAACAUUUGGGUUCUCAUACUACCACAGUCCUCUUGAGAAGGACAGCCAGGCUUGGGUGGCAGUGGUGAGGAAGGUUCCUUUCUGUCAAGGGAGCUGAUGCCUUAAAGAAGCUAUCUCCAGAUAAAGGGAGAUCUAAGGAAGGAAGCCAACGAAAGACACCAUGUACCAGAAAGCCAAGCAGGAUUUUGACAUUUAUAACCAUAAUCUCUAUAAACAAGAUGAAUUAUGGCUGGGGAUUCAGUUAGUAAAUCAACGAAAAUAAAUCCUGGUAAGGUAAUGAUACAAUUUUAUCAUUUUUUGUUGAAAUCUAACAGUGUAUAGUAUGCUUUGCUGCAAUCAAAGACCUGCAGUAUUUUGUGUGCUAAACUCCAAUGACCCAUCAUUUAUUUUCUCUUUAUUCCACCUACUUACCUGUGAUAAUAACCAAAUAGCCUCACAUUUCCCCUUUCAAAGUUGUAUCUCAAGAGGAAAGCUCACUGACCCCACACAUUAGCCCUCCAGUAGCUCCAGCUGAGAAGUACUCUCUCCUCCAUUUUUUUCAGUGCAUAAUUCAAAGAUAACCCAAAUAAGAACAGAAAGUUGUGUGUCAUAGUCACUGGCAUCUAUCCGGUGCUUCUGAACCAUGAACCACAUGACCUGAUUAAAGAGGUUGCUGUGAGUGUGUUGUACUCUUCGUGAACUAAAUUCCAUGAUGACAGAAAACAAACCUGAAAACAAGAGUUAUUUCACAACUCUAGAGCUCCACAGAGUCGGCUGCAAUUGGUUGAGUUGAGGUGAAUUUUCAGUGGACCUGGAUCAGUGUAGAAGGGCAGGAACAUUGGCCCAGCACAGCCCCAGGCUGUGCAGCAUUCAAUGUGACUUGGGACUGGCCUUCCUGGCUCUGCCUUGCCGGUGAAACAUGGAUUGGAAGCUUUGAAUGUUGGAAGAAAUAAACAAGUCUUGGUUGGAGUCCCAGUUUCAAUAACCACAUAUUUUCAAACCUAGACAAAUAUUCUGGUCUCAUCUCCUCAUUUGGAUUACUUCAAUCCUCGGAGAGAACGGAAUAGGACUCUGUAUUUCUUUGGAUGUUCAACACAGUGUUUAACUAAUGGGUGCUAUUUGAAAUAUUAUCGUCUAUUAUCAUUGCUAUUCUAAUAAGGAUGAUACUUGCUAUAAAUAUUAUUGAGAAAAAAAACUUGGAAGUGUUCUUGAGCAACAUAAACAGUACAAAAUGACAGAUAUUAAACACCGUUCUUUUUUGCACGUAAAACUAUACAAAUAAAAAUAUAGAAAAGC
rnacentral:lncRNA from 1 species